rnacentral:rRNA from 1 species
GAUGAACGCUGGCGGCGUGCCUAACACAUGCAAGUCGAACGGAGAUUACGGACGGAAGUUUUCGGAUGGAAGCCUGUAAUUCUUAGUGGCGGACGGGUGAGUAACGCGUGGGCAACCUGCCCUAUACAGGGGGAUAGCAGCUGGAAACGGCUGGUAAGACCGCAUAAGUCGGCGAGACCGCAUGGUUUUGCCGGGAAAUGAGCAUUCAGGUAUAGGAUGGGCCCGCGUCCGAUUAGCCAGUUGGCAGGGUAAAAGCCUACCAAAGCAACGAUCGGUAGCCGGACUGAGAGGUCGGACGGCCACAUUGGGACUGAGACACGGCCCAAACUCCUACGGGAGGCAGCAGUGGGGGAUAUUGCACAAUGGAGGAAACUCUGAUGCAGCGACGCCGCGUGAGUGAAGAAGUAUUUCGGUAUGUAAAGCUCUAUCAGCAGGGAAGAUGAUGACGGUACCUGACUAAGAAGCCCCGGCUAACUACGUG